GAUGAACGCUGGCGGCGUGCCUAAUACAUGCAAGUCGAGCGAACAGACGAGGAGCUUGCUCCUCUGACGUUAGCGGCGGACGGGUGAGUAACACGUGGAUAACCUACCUAUAAGACUGGGAUAACUUCGGGAAACCGGAGCUAAUACCGGAUAAUAUAUUGAACCGCAUGGUUCAAUAGUGAAAGACGGGUUUGCUGUCACUUAUAGAUGGAUCCGCGCCGCAUUAGCUAGUUGGUAAGGUAACGGCUUACCAAGGCAACGAUUCGUAGCCAACCUGAGAGGGUGAUAGGCCACACUGGAACUGAGAGACGGUCCAGACUCCUACGGGAGGCAGCAGUAGGGAAUCUUCGGCAGAGGGAGAAAGCAUGACGGAGCAACGCCGCGUGAGUGAUGAAGGUCUUCGGAUCGUAAAACUCUGUUAUUAGGGAAGAACAAAUGUGUAAGCAACUAUGCACGUCUUGACGGUACCUAAUCAGAAAGCCACGGCUAACUACGUG
rnacentral:rRNA from 1 species